UAGGGAAUCUUGGGCAAUGGAGGGAAAUCUGAACAAGCCAUGCCGCGUGCAGGAAGACGGCCCUCUGGGUUGUAAACUGCUUUUAUUCGGGAAUAAACCACAUUACGUGUAGUGUGCUGAAUGUACCGAAGGAAUAAGGAUCGGCUAACUCCGUGCCAGCAGCCGCGGUAAUACGGAGGAUCCAAGCGUUAUCCGGAUUUAUUGGGUUUAAAGGGUGCGUAGGCGGCUUAUUAAGUCAGGGGUGAAAGACGGUGGCUCAACCAUCGCAGUGCCCUUGAUACUGAUGAGCUUGAAUGGACUAGAGGUAGGCGGAAUGUGACAAGUAGCGGUGAAAUGCAGAGAUAUGUCACAGAACACCGCUUGAGAAGGCAGCUUAAUACGGGUUAAUUGACGCUGAGGCACGAAAGCGGGGGGAUAAAAAA
rnacentral:rRNA from 1 species